ACUCAGGCCUAACACGCGUUCUCUGUCUCUGCCCCACUUGCCCCCCAGAAGCAGCCACGGUCCGGCCUCCGCCCUGGCACCCGCCCGGCCCGGUGUGGCAGCUGGUGUUGUGAAUCAGGCCGUCGCCAGUCUGAGAACGGCUACUUCACA
ensembl:miRNA sha-mir-138-2 sha-mir-138-2